AUGGCUUCUUCUACCACUAGCAACGGCAGCAAGACUCUGCGUGUCCUGCUAUUGCCCCACUUUGCGACUGGCCACAUCCACCCCUUCACCGAGCUUGCCGUUAGCCUCGCCGUGUCUAGCCCAAACGCCACCGUAGAAGCCAUCAUCGCAGUCACGCCGGCGAACGUUCCGAUCGUCCAGUCCUUGCUGGAGCGCCAUAGCGCAGCAACUGUCAAGAUAGUUACCUAUCCGUUCCCAACGGUGGAGGGCCUGCCCAAGGGUGUCGAGAACCUUGGGAAGGCGGCCACUCAGGCAGAUGCUAUGCGCAUCAACAUCGCCGCCUCGACCGAACCCCUGAUGCGCCCCGCGCACGAGACGCUCGUCCGGGCGCAGUCUCCAGACGCCAUCAUCACCGACAUGCUCUUCACCUGGGGCGCCGGCAUCGCCGACGAGCUCGGCGUGCCAUGCGUCCCAUUCCAUGUCACCGGCGCCUUCCCGAUGCUCGCCAUGCGCCACCUCAUGAUGGACGACGCCGCGAUCGACGGAGAUGACAUGGUGACGGCCCCUCCGUUCCCGACCCCUCAGAUACGGGUCCCAAGGACUGAGGUGCCCGACUUAUCGAUAUUUCGAUACGUCUUCGACAAGAUUCAUUCCAUGCAAGCUGCCUGCUUCGGCCUCGCCGUCAACACAUUCUCAGGCCUGGAGCAGCAGUACUGCGACAUGUACACGGGCCAAGGGUACGUCCAGCGCUCCUACUUUGUAGGGCCGCAACUGCAAUCCUCUGAGAGCCCCACGGGUGACUCAAAGUCACAGUGCAUCGGUUGGCUCGACACAAAGUCGGACCAUUCGGUCGUGUACGUGUCCUUUGGCUCGUGCGCCCUCGUAUCGGAUGCUCAGCUGGACCAACUUGCUCUUGGGUUGGAGGCCUCGGGGAAGCCGUUUUUGUGGGUCGUCAGGGCGGCCGACAAGUGGACUCCACCAAAAGGGUGGGAGAAGCGUGUCGAGGACCGGGGGCUCAUCAUCAGAUCCUGGGCUCCACAAACCGCCAUACUUGCGCACCCUGCAGUGGGCGCGUUUCUGACGCACUGUGGGUGGAACUCCGUCCUAGAGGCAGUGGCCGCGGGCGUGCCUAUGCUCACAUGGCCAAAGGUGCACGACCAAUUCGUCAACGAGAGGCUAUUCACAGAUGUGCUAGGAAUCGGGCACCGACUCUGGCCGCAUGGCGCUGGCUUACGGAGCGAGGAUUACGAAAAACAUGAGCUGAUCCCGGCCGACGAUGUGGCCCGGGCAUUGCUCACAUUCAUGCAUUCUGGAGGACCUGGGGACGUUAUGAGGACAAGGGUAAUGGACCUCGCCUCAAAGUCUCAUGCCGCCAUCGCACAAGGAGGCUCCUCGCAGCAAGAUUUGCACCGCCUCGUCAACGAUCUCAUGGCAGCAAAGGUGGGGCGGAGCUAG
rnacentral:rRNA from 1 species